CCUACGGGAGGCAGCAGUGAGGAAUAUUGGUCAAUGGGCGCGAGCCUGAACCAGCCAAGUAGCGUGAAGGAUGACUGCCCUACGGGUUGUAAACUUCUUUUAUAAAGGAAUAAAGUGAGGCACGUGUGCCGUUUUGGAUGUACUUUAUGAAUAAGGAGCGGCUAACGCCGUGCCAGCAGCCGCGGUAAUACGGAGGAUCCGAGCGUUAUGCGGAUUUAUUGGGGUUACAGGGAGCGUAGAGGGGUUGUUAAGGCAGUUGUGAAAGUUUGCGGCUCAACCGUAAAAGUGCAAUUGAUACUUGCAGUCUUGCGUACAGUUGCGGUAGGCGGAAUUCGUGGUGUAGUCGUGAAAUGCUUCGAUCUCACG
rnacentral:rRNA from 1 species